rnacentral:rRNA from 1 species
GAGCUCUCCCAUAUGGUCGACCUGCAGGCGGCCGCGAAUUCACUAGUGAUUAGAGUUUGAUCCUGGCUCAGAUUGAACGCUGGCGGCGUGCCUAACACAUGCAAGUCGAACGUGAAAGUUCCUUCGGGAGCGAGUAAAGUGGCGCACGGGUGAGUAACACGUGGAUAAUCUACCGGGAAGUUGGGGAUAACGACUGGAAACGGUCGCUAAUACCGAAUACGCUGUUCUAUUUGUUUAGGACAGGAAAGGAGGCCUCUGCAUAUGCUUCCGCUUUUCGAUGAGUCCGCGUCCCAUUAGCUAGUUGGCGGGGUAAAGGCCCACCAAGGCGACGAUGGGUAGCUGGUCUGAGAGGAUGAUCAGCCACACUGGGACUGGAACACGGCCCAGACUCCUACGGGAGGCAGCAGUGGGGAAUAUUGCGCAAUGAGCGAAAGCCUGACGCAGCGACGCCGCGUGAGGGAUGAAGGUCCUCGGAUCGUAAACCUCUGUCAGAAGGGAAGAAGUUGCACUGUGCUAAUCAGCGGUGCAUUGACGGUACCUUCAAAGGAAGCACCGGCUAACUCCGUGCCAGCAGCCGCGGUAAUACGGAGGGUGCGAGCGUUAAUCGGAAUUACUGGGCGUAAAGCGCACGUAGGCUGUAUAUCAAGUCAAGGGUGAAAUCCCCGGGCUCAACCUGGGAACUGCCUUUGAAACUGGUAAACUGGAGUAUGUGAGAGGGUGGCGGAAUUCCUGGUGUAGGAGUGAAAUCCGUAGAUAUCAGGAGGAACAUCAGUGGCGAANGCGGCCACCUGGCACAAAACUGACGCUGAGGUGCGAAAGCGUGGGUAGCAAACAGGAUUAGAUACCCUGGUAGUCCACGCUGUAAACGAUGGAUACUGGGUGUUGGGAUGUAUGUCUCGGCGCCGUAGCUNACGCGUUAAGUAUCCCGCCUGGGGAGUACNGUCGCAAGGCUGAAACUCAAAGAAAUUGACNGGG